rnacentral:rRNA from 1 species
CGAAAGCCUGACGGAGCAAUACCGCGUGAGGGAGGAAGGCUUUUGGGUUGUAAACCUCUUUUAUUAAGGAAGAAGAAAGUGACGGUACUUAAAGAAUCAGCAUCGGCUAACUCCGUGCCAGCAGCCGCGGUAAUACGGAGGAUGCAAGCGUUAUCCGGAAUCAUUGGGCGUAAAGCGUCCGCAGGUGGUCAAUCAAGUCUGCUGUUAAAGACAGAAGCUUAACUUCUGAUAGGCAGUGGAAACUGGAGGACUAGAGUAUGGUAGGGGUUGAGGGAAUUCCCAGUGUAGCGGUGAAAUGCGUAGAUAUUGGGAAGAACACCAGUGGCGAAGGCGCUCAACUGGGCCGUAACUGACACUCAGGGACGAAAGCUAGGGGAGCG